ACUUGUCUGAAUUUUCCUUUGCUUAUUUCUUGUUUUUAUUGUAUUUGCCAACUUUCUAUUGUGGUCCAUGGAUGAAAAAGAGAUGCUAGAUUAUACAGAUGAGGAAAAAGCAAUGGACACUGGUCAGGAAACUGAAG